GAAAUGCGAUAAGUAAUGUGAAUUGCAGAAUUCAGUGAAUCAUCGAAUCUUUGAACGCACCUUGCGCUCCUUGGUAUUCCUUGGAGCAUGCCUGUUUGAGUAUCAUGAAAUCUUCAAAGUAAAUCUUUUGUUAACUCAAUUGGUUUCUACUUUGGUAUUGGAGGUCUUUGCAGCUUCACACCUGCUCCUCUUUGUUCAUUAGCUGGAUCUCAGUGUUAUGCUUGGUUCCACUCGGCGUGAUAAGUUAUCUAUCGCUGAGGACACUGGAAAAGGUGGCCAAGGUAAAUGCAGAUGAACCGCUUCUAAUAGUCCAUUGACUUGGACAAUACUUUUAUGAUCUGAUCUCAAAUCAGGUAGGACUACCCGCUGAACUUAAGC
rnacentral:misc_RNA from 1 species